rnacentral:tRNA from 1 species
CCCCGUGUAAUUCCAAUGGUAGAAUCCGCGCCAUAUAUGCGCGAAAUUCGGGUUCGACUCCCGGCUCGGGGCUU